rnacentral:rRNA from 1 species
GACGAACGCUGGCGGCGUGCUUAACACAUUCAAGUCGAACGGAAAGGCCCUGCUUUUGUGGGGUGCUCGAGUGGCGAACGGGUGAGUAACACGUGAGUAACCUGCCCUUGACUUUGGGAUAACUUCAGGAAACUGGGGCUAAUACCGGAUAGGAGCUCCUGCUUCAUGGUGGGGGUUGGAAAGUUUCUGCGGUUGGGGAUGGACUCGCGGCUUAUCAGCUUGUUGGUGGGGUAGUGGCUUACCAAGGCUUUGACGGGUAGCCGGCCUGAGAGGGUGACCGGCCACAUUGGGACUGAGAUACGGCCCAGACUCCUACGGGAGGCAGCAGUGGGGAAUAUUGCACAAUGGGCGGAAGCCUGAUGCAGCAACGCCGCGUGCGGGAUGACGGCCUUCGGGUUGUAAACCGCUUUCGCCUGUGACGAAGCGUGAGUGACGGUAAUGGGUAAAGAAGCACCGGCUAACUACGUG